AGUGUUAGAAAAAAGCAGUACUACUCGACGGCCAGUAACUCCUAUCACAUCUGAUGAUGAUGAUGCUGCAGAAGCAGGUCCAUCAAAAGAAGUAUGGAGCAGCAGAAGUGGGACUUCUGUAAGACAUCACAACAAAAAACCUGUGGCCGAAAAGAAAGCAAGGUCGUAUGUCCCGGGCCAACCACAGCAGGCUACCCCACCAUGAAGAUUAUCGUCCGUAUGUUCUGUCCCCCCACUCCAAAUUUUGGACACACCUCCAAGACGUCAUCCACACUCCCCUCAUCUUGAUUCUUCUAGUCCUGGGAACAGCAUCCCUCCGCAACAACAGCAACACAGUGACAUGGAGGAGACAAACAUCUUAGAAAUGCAGCCAUUAAUGCAAGGAAUGAGCCCCCCAGCACCUGUGAGUAUGCCACCACAGCAAAGCACACCACCACCACAACACAGCCCAACAACACCAGAAACACAAGGCCCUGAUCAGGUGUUGGUCCAUUUGGGCUAGACAGCAGGCCACUAAUGAAGAUUGCCUGCGUAAGCAGACACAAAUGUUUGCAAGCCUACCAUCUCACCUCAGAAGAAUAUCAAGAAAUCUGAGUAGACAAAAUGAACAAACAACCAGAAUAGGCAAUACCAUGGAACUCAUGCGUACAGACAUUACACAGGUCAUGGACAACUUUCAGCACAUAAUGGAAGAACAGCACAGACAACAGCAAAGUUAUAUGAGCAUUUUUCAAAACAAUCAAAAGAUUAAUGAAAGUUUAUUCCGAAUAGUAAACAAUCAAAAUGCUGCUACACGUGAACUCAAUGCCACCCUCACUAACCUGAAUGAAACACUCAGAUGCAUGCACCAACAGCAAACAAGCAGCAGUUCUGGUACGACUACUCCAAAUAUCACGCCAGUGUCAUCACCACCAAGACGCUCCACCAGAGCACAACAAUAUGACAGUGCUAAAGGUAAAGGGCAGGACACGCAGCCACAAAAAAAACGUGAAAAAAAUUCAAGUUAGACAUUUGUGAUAAGUAACUCAAAAUAGUUAGUAAGUGUAUUUUUGGAUAAAAAUAUAUAACACUUAGCUCCUUGACACUUUUUUCAACAUCAUCAAUUAUAAGUGGUACAAACAAAAAGAUAAAAUUUGUACGCACAUUUAUUCUUUACCAUUUUUUUUGGUAUUGGAGGAGGGAAAUGUUGAUGGAGCCACACAUACAUGUUAGCAGGAAGUAAACUGACCACUUGAUUUUUUUUCUAAUCAUUACUCUUUCUAGAUUCCAAUCAUUCUCUUUCCCUGCAGACACAAUAGUUGCCAGCCAGGCAGAAUGUCUUUAGCAGGAAGUAAACUGACCACUUGAUUUUUUUCUAAUCAUUACUCUUUCUAGAUUCCAAUCAAUCUCAAUCCCUGCAGACAAUCCAAAUUACAAUGUUAUUGAUACAUAUUUUAGCUUUAUUCUCUAUACAACAUUACAAGAAGAACACAAUUGAGUUGCGUAAAAAGCUUGUAAUAUGUUGGCUUUGUUUUGUUUUAAAAACAUUGACAAAAUGAAUGUCAGUAUUGAUGGGACAUGUUUGUGUGUGUUAAA